rnacentral:rRNA from 1 species
CCAAUAGCGUAUAUUAAAGUUGUUGCAGUUAAAAAGCUCGUAGUUGAACUUCAGGCCUGGCUGGGCGGUCCGCCUUCCGGGCGAGUACUGCCUGUGGUCGGGUCCUACCUUCUGGCGAAGCGUCAUGGCCUUAACCGGCCGUGGCGGGGAACCAGGACUUUUACUGUGAAAAAAUUAGAGUGUUCAAAGCAGGCACGCGCUUGAAUACAUUAGCAUGGAAUAAUGGAAUAGGACAGUGGUUCUAUUUGUUGGUUUCUAGGACCGUUGUAAUGAUUAAUAGGGAUAGUUGGGGGCAUUAGUAUUCAAUUGUCAGAGGUGAAAUUCUUGGAUUUAUUGAAGACUAACUACUGCGAAAGCAUUUGCCAAGGAUGUUUUCAUUAAUCAAGAACGAAAGUUAGGGGAUCGAAGACGAUCAGAUACCGUCGUAGUCUUAACCAUAAACUAUGCCGACUAGGAAUCGGGCGAUGUUGACAAAAUGACGCGCUCGGCACCUCAU